UGUGUGUGUGUGUGUGUGUGUGUGUGUACAAGUGAGUUGGACAAAUGAAAGAAGGGUAUUCAGCCAAUUUAUUGAGAGUUACAUGUGUGGAUCAAAACAGUUUGACUCAAAUUCGUUGGUACUCUUGAGUUUCAAGUGUGAUGCUAGUCAUCA